CGGGCAGACUUAUGUACAAUAUACCCAAGUAUGUAUAAUUGUAUGUAGCACUUACGGUGAGAAAACAGAUAGCAGACAAAUGGCAGACAUAAAGCGAGCCUACAAAUGAGCCG